GUGAAUCAUCAAAUUUUUGAACGCAAAUUGCACUCUCUGGUAUUCCGGGGAGUAUGCCUGUUUGAGGGUCAGUUUAAAUAAAAAUCUGUGUGGUUUCUGCGUUUCUUGUUGACGCACCGGAUUUGGGUCGUCUUGACUUCGGUUAAGUGACGUAAAAUUUUGCAUGAUGUUUUUCGAACGUAGUGAAAUGAUUUUACGUACGUUUGCGAUAUCGAGUACUAUUUUUGGUUAUUCUCAUUAUUCGA
rnacentral:misc_RNA from 1 species